UACAGAGGUGGCAAGCGUUGUUCGGAAUUACUGGGCGUAAAGCGCACGUAGGCGGCUUUGUAAGUUAGAGGUGAAAGCCCGGGGCUCAACUCCGGAAUUGCCUUUAAGACUGCAUCGCUAGAAUUGUGGAGAGGUGAGUGGAAUUCCGAGUGUAGAGGUGAAAUUCGUAGAUAUUCGGAAGAACACCAGUGGCGAAGGCGACUAACUGGACAUGUAUUGACGCUGAGGUGCGAAAGCGUGGGGAGCAAACAGG
rnacentral:rRNA from 1 species